rnacentral:rRNA from 1 species
UACGGAGGGGGCUAGCGUUGUUCGGAAUUACUGGGCGUAAAGCGCACGUAGGCGGCUUUGUAAGUUAGAGGUGAAAGCCCAGGGCUUAACCCUGGAAUUGCCUUUAAGACUGCAUCGCUAGAAUCGUGGAGAGGUGAGUGGAAUUCCGAGUGUAGAGGUGAAAUUCGUAGAUAUUCGGAAGAAACACCAGUGGCGAAGGCGACUCACUGGACACAUAUUGA